rnacentral:tRNA from 2 species
AGGAGGCAAAGCUUUUGCAGUUAGACUUCUAAUCUUCACUGUGGGCAGCUAGCAGCUGUUCGCCUCCUU